UUGCAGCUAACUAAAUGACUAAGUACCUUUCCCCAUGGGGAUUUGGUAUGCAGUGGUUGCAAACAGCAGCCUCCUUGGUGUGGUGUAUGUAGCCUGUUCCCUAUAUGGGUUGCCCCAAGGGACCCUGGAGACUAUU